CGGACGGGUGAGUAACGCGUGGGUAACCUGCCUCAUACGAGGGGAUAACGGUUAGAAAUGACUGCUAAUACCGCAUAAGCGCACAGUACCGCAUGGUACGGUGUGAAAAACUCCGGUGGUAUGAGAUGGACCCGCGUCUGAUUAGCUAGUUGGUGAGGUAACGGCCCACCAAGGCGACGAUCAGUAGCCGACCUGAGAGGGUGACCGGCCACAUUGGGACUGAGACACGGCCCAG
rnacentral:rRNA from 1 species